GCACCCUUAGUUCAACGGAUAGAAUUUUGGUUUCCGGUACCAAAGAUAGGGGUUCGAAUCCCUUAGGGUGCA
rnacentral:tRNA from 1 species